rnacentral:piRNA from 1 species
UACGUGUUGUCUAGUGGCCCUUGCUGU